UGUAGCAGAUUUCAGACUGCCUCAGUUCAACCCUAACAGCCCCAUCGGUCAGGAGUUUGUGGUCCCUAAAUCAGGAUUUUUCUGUAACAUCUGCUCUGUUUUCUGCCUGAAUGAGAAGACCGCCAAGGAACUCCACUGCUGCAGCCAGAAACACUACGACAACCUGCAGAAGUAUUAUGAGGAACGUCGACAAAGA